rnacentral:rRNA from 1 species
UACGGAGGGUGCAAGCGUUGCUCGGAAUUACUGGGCGUAAAGCGACCGCAGGCGGUUCGCAAAGUCGUGUGUGAAAUCCCUGGGCUCAACCCAGGAACUGCAUACGAUACUGGCGGACUAGAGUUCGGGAGAGGGAGGUGGAAUUCCUGGUGUAGAGGUGAAAUUCGUUGAUAUCAGGAGGAACACCGGCGGCGAAGGCGGCCUCCUGGCCCGAUACUGACGCUCAUGGUCGAAAGCGUGGGGAGCAAACAGG